rnacentral:rRNA from 1 species
UACAGAGGGUGCGAGCGUUGUCCGGAAUCACUGGGCGUAAAGGGCGCGUAGGCGGAUUUGUAAGUCAGGGGUGAAAUCCCGGGGCUCAACCUCGGAACUGCCUUUGAUACUGCGAAUCUUGAGUCCGAUAGAGGUGGGUGGAAUUCCUAGUGUAGAGGUGAAAUUCGUAGAUAUUAGGAAGAACACCAGUGGCGAAGGCGGCUCACUGGUCCGGUACUGACGCUGAGGUGCGAAAGCGUGGGGAGCAAACAGG